rnacentral:rRNA from 1 species
CCUACGGGUGGCAGCAGUGAGGAAUAUUGGUCAAUGGUCGGGAGACUGAACCAGCCAAGCCGCGUGAGGGAUGAAGGUACAGAGUAUCGUAAACCUCUUUUGUCAGUGAACAAAGGCGGGGACGUGUCCCCGGCUGAGUGUACCUGAAGAAAAAGCAUCGGCUAACUCCGUGCCCGCAGCCGCGGUAAUACGGAGGAUGCGAGCGUUAUCCGGAUUUAUUGGGUUUAAAGGGUGGGCAGGCGGUCUGUUAAGUCAGCGGUCAAAGCCCGGGGCUCAACCCCGGCCCGACGUUGAAACUGGCAGUCUCGAGUUGGAGAGAAGUAUGCGGAAUGCGCGGUGUAGCGGUGAAAGGCAUAGAUAUCGCGCAGAACUCCGAUUGCGAAGGCAGCAUGCCGGCUCCACACUGACGCUGAGGCACGAAAGCGUGGGUAUCGAACAGGAUUAGAUACCCUAGUAGUC